rnacentral:rRNA from 1 species
AUGGCAAAAAGCCCAGACGCAUCGGUCGAGAGGUUUGCAGACGGUUUUAGUGACGGAUGCCCUAACCUGUCCAUCGCGGAAAAACAUUCUUUUAUUUACUGUUAUUUGCAAGGGAUUCAUGAUAUUAUUAAAAAAAGCAUGCAAAGAAUAUCUAGCUGGAGAAACAAUUUUGGAGCAUUUGUUGUGUCUCCCAGAACAGGACGUGCAUGUCCUAGGUCUACAAAACUUGCGAGAAACCAUGACGACUGCUGCUUGGUACUUGUGUAUGAACGACGGAAACUUAGGCAUGGUGAACAAACACAAAGUGUGACACAAAUCUACCUUGCAAUCAGAUGGCUGGCUGCAAACUUUAUUUUCGCUUGCAGUCCAAAAGCAAAAAUAUGCAAAAACAGCUUGGACGAAACCCAGGACGGGUUAUAUGAAAUUAAAUGUUGA